UACAGGGGGGGCAAGCGUUGUUCGGAAUUACUGGGCGUAAAGGGCUCGUAGGCGGCCAACUAAGUCGGAUGUGAAAUCCCCAGGCUUAACCUGGGAACUGCAUCCGAUACUGGAUGGCUUGAAUUCGGGAGAGGGAUGCAGAAUUCCAGGUGUAGCGGUGAAAUGCGUAGAUAUCUGGAGGAAUACCGGUGGCGAAGGCGGGUCUCUGGGCCGAUACUGACGCUGAGGUGCGAAAGCGUGGGGAGCAAACAGG
rnacentral:rRNA from 1 species